rnacentral:rRNA from 1 species
GGGUUGUGAGGUUAAGCGACUAAGCGUACACGGUGGAUGCCCUGGCAGUCAGAGGCGAUGAAGGACGUGCUAAUCUGCGAAAAGCGUCGGUAAGGUGAUAUGAACCGUUAUAGCCGGCGAUGUCCGAAUGGGGAAACCCAGUGCAAUUCGUUGCACUAUCGUUAACUGAAUACAUAGGUUAACGAGGCGAACCGGGGGAACUGAAACAUCUAAGUACCCCGAGGAAAAGAAAUCAACCGAGAUUCCCCCAGUAGCGGCGAGCGAACGGGGAGCAGCCCAGAGUCUGAAUCAGCUUGUGUGUUAGUGGAACGGUCUGGAAAGUCCGACGGUACAGGGUGAUAGUCCCGUACACCAAAAUGCACAGGCUGUGAACUCGAAGAGUAGGGCGGGACACGUGGUAUCCUGUCUGAAUAUGGGGGGACCAUCCUCCAAGGCUAAAUACUCCUGACUGACCGAUAGUGAACCAGUACCGUGAGGGAAAGGCGAAAAGAACCCCGGCGAGGGGAGUGAAAAAGAACCUGAAACCGUGUACGUACAAGCAGUGGGAGCACCUUCGGGUGUGACUGCGUACCUUUUGUAUAAUGGGUCAGCGACUUAUAUUCUGUAGCAAGGUUAACCGUAUAGGGGAGCCGCAGGGAAACCGAGUCUUAACUGGGCGUUAAGUUGCAGGGUAUAGACCCGAAACCCGGUGAUCUAGCCAUGGGCAGGUUGAAGGUUGGGUAACACUAACUGGAGGACCGAACCGACUAAUGUUGAAAAAUUAGCGGAUGACUUGUGGCUGGGGGUGAAAGGCCAAUCAAACCGGGAGAUAGCUGGUUCUCCCCGAAAGCUAUUUAGGUAGCGCCUCGUGAAUUCAUCUUCGGGGGUAGAGCACUGUUUCGGCUAGGGGGUCAUCCCGACUUACCAACCCGAUGCAAACUACGAAUACCGAAGAAUGUUAUCACGGGAGACACACGGCGGGUGCUAACGUCCGUCGUGAAGAGGGAAACAACCCAGACCGCCAGCUAAGGUCCCAAAGUCAUGGUUAAGUGGGAAACGAUGUGGGAAGGCACAGACAGCCAGGAUGUUGGCUUAGAAGCAGCCAUCAUUUAAAGAAAGCGUAAUAGCUCACUGGUCGAGUCGGCCUGCGCGGAAGAUGUAACGGGGCUAAACCAUGCACCGAAGCUGCGGCAGCGACACUAUGUGUUGUUGGGUAGGGGAGCGUUCUGUAAGCCUGCGAAGGUGUGCUGUGAGGCAUGCUGGAGGUAUCAGAAGUGCGAAUGCUGACAUAAGUAACGAUAAAGCGGGUGAAAAGCCCGCUCGCCGGAAGACCAAGGGUUCCUGUCCAACGUUAAUCGGGGCAGGGUGAGUCGACCCCUAAGGCGAGGCCGAAAGGCGUAGUCGAUGGGAAACAGGUUAAUAUUCCUGUACUUGGUGUUACUGCGAAGGGGGGACGGAGAAGGCUAUGUUAGCCGGGCGACGGUUGUCCCGGUUUAAGCAUGUAGGCUGGUUGUCCAGGCAAAUCCGGAUAAUCAAGGCUGAGGUGUGAUGACGAGGCACUACGGUGCUGAAGUAACAAAUGCCCUGCUUCCAGGAAAAGCCUCUAAGCAUCAGGUAACAUUAAAUCGUACCCCAAACCGACACAGGUGGUCAGGUAGAGAAUACCAAGGCGCUUGAGAGAACUCGGGUGAAGGAACUAGGCAAAAUGGUGCCGUAACUUCGGGAGAAGGCACGCUGGUGUGUAGGUGAAGUCCCUGCGGAUGGAGCUGAGACCAGUCGAAGAUACCAGCUGGCUGCAACUGUUUAUUAAAAACACAGCACUGUGCAAACACGAAAGUGGACGUAUACGGUGUGACGCCUGCCCGGUGCCGGAAGGUUAAUUGAUGGGGUUAUCCGUAAGGAGAAGCUCUUGAUCGAAGCCCCGGUAAACGGCGGCCGUAACUAUAACGGUCCUAAGGUAGCGAAAUUCCUUGUCGGGUAAGUUCCGACCUGCACGAAUGGCGUAAUGAUGGCCAGGCUGUCUCCACCCGAGACUCAGUGAAAUUGAACUCGCUGUGAAGAUGCAGUGUACCCGCGGCAAGACGGAAAGACCCCGUGAACCUUUACUAUAGCUUGACACUGAACAUUGAGCCUUGAUGUGUAGGAUAGGUGGGAGGCUUUGAAGCGUGGACGCCAGUCUGCGUGGAGCCAACCUUGAAAUACCACCCUUUAAUGUUUGAUGUUCUAACGUUGGCCCCUGACCGGGGUUGCGGACAGUGUCUGGUGGGUAGUUUGACUGGGGCGGUCUCCUCCCAAAGCGUAACGGAGGAGCACGAAGGUUAGCUAAUCCUGGUCGGACAUCAGGAGGUUAGUGCAAUGGCAUAAGCUAGCUUGACUGCGAGCGUGACGGCGCGAGCAGGUGCGAAAGCAGGUCAUAGUGAUCCGGUGGUUCUGAAUGGAAGGGCCAUCGCUCAACGGAUAAAAGGUACUCCGGGGAUAACAGGCUGAUACCGCCCAAGAGUUCAUAUCGACGGCGGUGUUUGGCACCUCGAUGUCGGCUCAUCACAUCCUGGGGCUGAAGUAGGUCCCAAGGGUAUGGCUGUUCGCCAUUUAAAGUGGUACGCGAGCUGGGUUUAGAACGUCGUGAGACAGUUCGGUCCCUAUCUGCCGUGGGCGCUGGAGAAUUGAGGGGGGCUGCUCCUAGUACGAGAGGACCGGAGUGGACGCAUCACUGGUGUUCGGGUUGUCAUGCCAAUGGCACUGCCCGGUAGCUAAAUGCGGAAGAGAUAAGUGCUGAAAGCAUCUAAGCACGAAACUUGCCCCGAGAUGAGUUCUCCCUGAGACUUUAAGUCUCCUGAAGGAACGUUAAAGACGAUGACGUUGAUAGGCCGGGUGUGUAAGCGCAGCGAUGCGUUGAGCUAACCGGUACUAAUGAACCGUGAGGCUUAACCUUACAACGCCGAAG